rnacentral:lncRNA from 1 species
GGGCAGACUAGAGGCAAGAGGAAGGCUGUAGUCACCUCCACACUGGGGGGGGGGGGGGGGGGGGGGGGNNNNNNNNNNNNNNNNNNNNGGGGGGGGGGGGGGGGGGGGUAACCAAUACCUAUUGGGAAGGGUUAUGGGCUGAAUUGCGUCCCCAAAAUUCGUGUUGAAGCCCUAACGCCGAGGACCUCAGGAUGUGGCUGUAGUUGGAGAAGAGGCCUUCACAGAGAUGAUCAGGGUGAGCCCUCGUCCAAGGUGGUUCUUGUGAUUACGCGAAUAGGGGAUUAGGACACUGAAACGUGAGAGGGAAGGCCAUGUGAGGACACAGCGGGAAGACGGCCAUCCGCAAGCUAGGGAGAGAGGCCUCGGAAGGGACCAACCCUGCGGACGCCUUGUUCUCGGGUUCCAGAACUAUGGGGAAGUAAUUUCUGUUGUUGCAGCGACCUGCCCGGCGCUCUGUUAAGGCGGCGAGCAGACUCCUCCGGAAGCGCAGGCACCACCUCGAUGAUGCAGCCGUCUGAACGUCGUCUUAUUACUAUUAUUGCUAAUUAAAACAUAUACAUGGGCCGGCAUGCGGUGGAGCCCGCUUCUGCCUGGGGUCAGGCCGCCGGGAGGAAGAGGAGGCAGCGCUGGAGCCAGAUUGCAGCGAACACAGUUGUCACCUGGAGAAGCCCAGGGUAAUUACAACCAAAGGGGGACACCAACAGGAACGAAAAUUUGUGCUUAAUCCUGGAGGAAAGAUACCCAGCCCCAGGUCUAGGAUGAGGCCCAGGCCGUGGAGGGGGUUGGGGUGGGAAGUCAGGACCCGGGCCGUGGCGUCAGCGUGAACCGCAGGCGGGAAGGGCUUUAGGGCCCGCCGGGAACAGUGGGCGCAGGGUCUGGCCGAGGGGACCCGCGUAACAAAGGCGCGCUUCCGUGGGGAGGCCGUCGUAGUGAUGAGUGAUUGUAGCCCGGGAGCAUCCCGCGGAGCCCAUGGGACACAGAGGAGGAACCAGGAGAGUCGGGGCAGGCGUCGCGGAGGAGGUGAGGUCUCGAAGAAGAGGCACUGGCCAGAGGAGGGUACGGAAGGACAUUACAGGAAAAGGAAGCACACUGCAGGGCCCAGGUGUCACCAGGGAUAGAGAUGAGAGUCACCUGCACCUGGGAACGUCGUGUUCUCCUGCCAUGGUACCUUGUGACGGACACAGCUCCACCUGUGCAGCUGGACAGCCAGAAAUGCACAACCCCAAUCUCACUGUGAGGAAGCAGAAGACGAACACAAAAUGAGGACUGUUCUGUUUCUAAAAAGAAGGACGCACAUGUGGGGGGUGGGCUCUAUUUUUCAGAUAUGUCAAUGUUAUAAAAGACAAUGAAAGGCUGUGGAAAUGUUUUGGACGAAAGGAGACUAAAAGAGCAUGACAACUAAAUGCAAUUCCCGACCCUAGAAUCCUGUCCUGGAGAAGAAUGAAGUGCUAAAAAGAACAUUAUUAAAUCAACUGACAAAACCAGAAUAUGGCUGCCAGAUUAGAUAAAAGCAUUAUACCAAUGUAACUGUGUGGACCUGAGAUCUGUACUGUGCUUAUGCAAGAGGAUAUUUCUAUUCUUAGGGAAUACACACUGGAGUAUUUAAAGGUAAAGUGCCUUCAUGUAACUUACCUUCAAUUGGUUCAGAAAAAAUAAUUCUGUAUUUAUACACAUAGAUGUAUGUGCCUGUAUACACACAGAUGGAUGAUAGAUAUAGAUAGAUGAUAGACAGAUAGAUAGAUAGACAGAUAGAUAUAGAUAGAUAGAUAGAUAGAUAGAUAGAGAUAAAUAGAUAGGUAGGUAAGUUGGUAGAUAGAUAGAAAGAUAAUAGACAGUGACAGAGACAGAGAGAGAACAAGUUCCUUGGGGAAAAAGAGUGCUCUGUGGGGAAGAGAGACAUCUGUUCCCUGUGUCUGUAGCAACAUACUUUCUAGGGCCGUGCCCACAUUAUGGCUGGUUGAACGAGUCCUCUGGCCUGAAGAAAUGACUAAAAGUAUAUGAGGUGAAGUUGGGGGACUGGUUGGAUCAGGUUGUUCAGACCAAGGGAAUACACCUAAGGCGCUAGCCUCAGCCUCCUUUCGAUGUCCACGUGGUGCAUUCUAUACACUUCCAGCUUCAUCACUGUACCAGCCAGUCUUCCAGUAGGAAACUGAUGGCACACUGAAUCUAGAUAAUUGAAGCUAGUUUAAUAAAAGGACUAUUUACAGAGGUAGGGGCAGAAUUAGAGAAACCAACAAGACAUGGUACAGCUCCCCAUGAAAAGUAGCAGUGGGGAGCCAGUGCUGUCAGAAAAAGUAAGGGAAGAAACAGUUAGCAGAACCUGAAGCCCAGAGAAGAGCUGUGUGGAGACCUGGUCUGACCACCUCACAGGAGCUAUGGUCUUUGGUAGACGGAUGCGCCUGACUCUGCAGCCAACCCUCAGCAGCUCAGCAGGGAGGGAGCUGUGGGGCACAAACACCCUGAGGGUAUUUGCCUUGCACCCCCUGGUCUUCUGCCAGGCUCUCCCAUUGGCCGAGUUCACCUGGAAGCCAGAGAGCAUGCCUAUGGUCGUCUACACAGGUCUUCAGAUCAAGAGAAACUACACUUGAACUAUACUCGGAACUAUUUAGUGAAGGAACUAUACCUGAAGAGCUUCCUCUACCCCAGGACCUGAUUGAGAUGACACCAGCUGCCAUGUCAUGAGAGAACACUCCAGCUCUGUGGAGAGGUCCACAUGGUGAGGAAUUGAGACCCCCUGCCAACAACCAGCACUAACAUAGCAAGCAUGUGAGUAAGCCACCGUGAAAGCAGAGCCUCCAGCCCCAGUCAAGCCUUCAGAUGACCACAGCCCUGGCCAACAUCUUGACCAAAACCUCAUGAUACAUCCUGGGGCAGAACCAUCCAGCUAAGCUGCUCCUGAGUUCUUGACUCACAGGAAUUGUGUGAGAUGAUAAAUAUCUAUUGUUUUAAGCCUCUAAGUUCUGGGGUAAUUUGC